rnacentral:rRNA from 1 species
AUUGAACGCUGGCGGAAUGCUUUACACAUGCAAGUCGAACGGCAGCACGGACUUCGGUCUGGUGGCGAGUGGCGAACGGGUGAGUAACAUAUCGGAACGUAUCCAAUAAUGGGGGAUAACUAAUCGAAAGGCUGGCUAAUACCGCAUACGCCCUACGGGGGAAAGCUAGGGACCUUCGGGCCUGGCGUUAAUGGAGCGGCCGAUAUCUGAUUAGCUAGUUGGUGAGGUAAAGGCUUACCAAGGCGACGAUCAGUAGCUGGUCUGAGAGGACGAGCGACAAGAAGGGAACGGAGACAGGAGCCAGACUCCUAGGGGGGGCAGAGGUGGGGAAUUUUGGACAAGGGGGGCAAGCUUGAUCAAGCCAUUCCGGGGGGUUGAAGAAGGCCUUCGGGUUGUAAGGCUCUGUCGCGAGGGAAGAAAACUAUCCCGCUAACAUAGGGUGAGGUGGACGGUACCUUGAUAAGAAGCACCGGCUAACUACGUGCCAGCAGCCGCCGUAAAAC